GAUGAACGCUAGCGGCAGGCUUAACACAUGCAAGUCGAGGGGUAGAAGUUGCUUGCAACUUUGAGACCGGCGCACGGGUGCGUAACGCGUAUGCAAUCUACCUUAUACAGAGGGAUAGCCCAGAGAAAUUUGGAUUAAUACCUCAUAGUAUAAUUGGAUGGCAUCAUUUAAUUAUUAAAGUUCCAACGGUAUAAGAUGAGCAUGCGUCCUAUUAGCUAGAUGGUAAGGUAACGGCUUACCAUGGCAACGAUAGGUAGGGGUCCUGAGAGGGGGAUCCCCCACACUGGUACUGGGACACGGACCAGACUCCUACGGGAGGCAGCAGUGAGGAAUAUUGGACAAUGGGCGCAAGCCUGAUCCAGCCAUGCCGCGUGCAGGAAGAAGCAUCUAUGGUGUGUAAACUGCUUUUGUACGGGAAGAAACACUCCUUCGUGAAGGAGCUUGACGGUACCGUAAGAAUAAGGAUCGGCUAACUCCGUGCCAGCCGCCGCAGUAA
rnacentral:rRNA from 1 species